rnacentral:rRNA from 1 species
CCCUGAAGUGGGGGAUAGCCCGCCGAAAGGCGGAUUAAUACCGCAUGUAUUCUGAUCGGCGCAUGCCGGUCGGAAUAAAGUUCCGAUUCAUCGGGAGGCUUCAGGAUGGGCUUGCGGCCUAUCAGCUAGUUGGCAGGGUAACGGCCUACCAAGGCGACGACGGGUAGCUGGCCUGAGAGGGUGGUCAGCCGGAUUGGGACUGAGACACGGCCCAGACUCCUACGGGAGGCAGCAAUUAGGAAUCUUGCGCAAUGGGCGAAAGCCUGACGCAGCGACGCCGCGUGAGCGACGAAGUCCUUCGGGAUGUAAAGCUCUGUCCUGUGGGGAAGAAGGAUGUGACGGUACCCACAGAGAAAGCCCCGGCUAACUACGUGCCAGCAGCCGCGGUAAUACGUAGGGGGCGAGCGUUGUCCGAAUUUACUGGGCGUAAAGCGCGUGUAGGCGGCUCUUUAAGUCAGAUGUGAAAUCUUGCGGCUCAACCGCAAAACUGCAUUUGAAACUGGAGGGCUUGAGCCCGGGAGAGGAGAGUGGAAUUCCUGGUGUAGCGGUGAAAUGCGUAGAUAUCAGGAGGAACACCCGUGGCGAAGGCGGCUCUCUGGCCCGGCGCUGACGCUGAGACGCGAAAGCUAGGGGAGCGAACGGGAUUAGAUACCCCGGUAGUCCUAGCCGUAAACGAUGGACACUAGGUGUUGGUGGUAUCGACCCCACCAGUGCCGUAGCUAACGCAUUAAGU